GGCAAGAUGGCCGAGCGGUCUAAGGCGCUCGACUCAAGUUGAUUAUCAGCUUAGACAUAGAUAACUUUGUCUUUCGAGUCUCGAAAGAGGCAGGGGUUCGAAUCCCCUUCUUGUCA